AACAUAGCCAGUUUUUAGGAGUAGAACAUUUUCUGCAUCAGACAAAUAAUGUCGCGUUUACUUUAUCAAACAUUGAAGGCAAACUGAAAGUGAAUUCGAAACUGCAUCAGUGCAUAUCGUACGUCGAUAUUGUAGCCUCGCGUGCAUUAUUUGCAUGAAACCCUUAAAGAACUUUAAAGGUAAUUUUGUUUUCAGAGUCUAGGUUUAAUAUGCCGUCAGUUAUUCUUAACAUUCGUUGUCAUUGGGAAUGGAAACUCUUAAUUUAAGGACGAGACUGAUUUUGUCUUUUCGUCUUCUUUAGUUACAUGCUGCUACAACUUCCGCAGUCAGAGUUAUCGGGGUCGUGCGGUGAGAGAAACAGAGAGCGAAUUACCAUGGCGUUUAGGAGUGUAACUCACAAGCUGUUUGCGAUCGCCUCGUUAGCUUGUUUGUAAUAGGUAUUUGGCGAAAGUUGUUUACUACAGUUUCUCCUUGUAAGGCACAGAGAAUAGCUUUUGGUCCGAAUUCCAAGAACACAGUCGCACACUCUGCACAAUGGCCGAACUGUUUACUUUGUCUGCUCGGUAUUCUGCUUUCUUUUGUUUUGUAAGACACACUGACGACGGAAGUUGUUGUUUCUAUUCCAGAGUGGCUGUUGUAGAGAGGCACACUAAGAAAUCAAACUCAUGGGGCACAACCCCAGUCCAAUGCACAGAAUAUGUGGCAGAUAACCUUCUGAUUUAAAGAAAGAGGAUGCGAACACGGACAUGAAUCAGUCUACAAUGUUUAGUGUUGUAAAUUGUGUAAAACUCAAUUUUGGAACAUUUUAACAAAAUACGUAGUUGACUUUAGAUCAAACCGUUUAAGAACUCGAGUAAUCUAUAAUCCUGUUAAGCUAAGAAUGAACACUGGAUGGUUCUAUUAUAUUAGUUUCAAUGUCAGAGUAAGUCAAACUUGAAAUUUGCAUAAGGGUUUCUUGGCGUGUGAAGUCUUAGUCAGGUAACUUAAGGGCUCUUCAGACUUUUGGGAGUAUUAGACAAUGCAAUUGUUUACGCUCAACAGCGCGUAAACUAAGUUACUACUCUACUGUGACCAGAAGAUCACAUCAUGUUCUGUUGUUAUGAAUAGCAUACUACGUUGCUCUCUCAUCGAGUUCAUCAACUCACAUAUAGGGGUCAGCUCACUAACCUAUCGAGUUUCAAUGACGCCUCCAACUUUAGUUCCAGUCAGAAAGUACUCUAGCUGAAUAGUGAUCGAUCAGUUAUGACACCGCAGCCUAACCACUUUGCCGCAUCUUUAUAACUCCCCUCUGUAGUGCUUCAAGUCAUCAACAAAUAUCGGGGCCUGUUAGCUAAGAUAUCGAGUCUCAAAAAAAAACUUUAAACUUGGUUUCCAGACAGAAUGAACCCUAGCGAAAUGAUGACUGACCAAUGAAAACACUAAGAUCCUGUCCUACGUAUUGAGUAUGUGGGAAAGAUAUAGCUACCCCAGUUACUGAAUCUCCCGCCGUUCGGCUGAAGCUUGAGUCGCGUUGCUUACUAGCAAAGGUUGGUCAUAUUACUACAGGCAUAUUUUAGCUUCCCUUUUUUCAACGUUAUACCCCUGAGUUCAAAAUUUUCAUUUGGCGGGGAGUGCAGUUUACCAAUUUGAACUGUAAAGGAAACGUUCGUUGUUUAUUAUGAUAGGCCUCCGUUUACGUUCCAACAGCGCAUAUCAUCAGAUACCAAGUACUCAGGAAGCACUCUAGAGUGAGUCUAGUUUCUUGAGUGCUUUUUGAGUACUUCAGUUGGUUAUUUCAAAAGCUAGGUACUAAGGUUGAUUGUGGCGAAGAACGGGACAAAUUACUGUCUGUGCAUAUAUGUCUUUACUAUUACGGGAUGCCAACGUAAACUUCAUGCUAUUGAUGGUAGGCUUUUUUCUCUUGGUGAAGUGUCACUGAAAAUGCCAUCGGUAAUAGGAGAACGGUAACAUUAGCAUAAAACAAAGUUUCUUUGUUGGA
rnacentral:lncRNA from 1 species